UUUGAAAUAAAAAAAACGUAACAAGGUUUCCGUAGGUUGUCUAGAAGGUUAGCCUACAAGAGUAGUCGCGCAAGGCUGCUAGUCUCCUCGGAGGCGACACGCUCAAGGUGCGGAAAAACCCCCGCUGGGGGAAACCCGCAGCCAGCUGCCCCUACCCGGCAGCCGGUUCAGAGACUCAAUGAACGUGGGCGCUAGCCUAGCUGCGCUUGAGAUAGAGCCCGUCCCCGCCGGCAAUGGCGCGGAGGUAACGGAACCUGCGGAAGGAUCAUUA
rnacentral:rRNA from 1 species